UUUACGAGUUAAAAUGAAAGCAUGCGUGGAAGAUGCAUGGAGGAAAAAUUUAGAGGAUAAGUUUUGACGAAUUUGACGUUCUUUUUCUUCUUGUUGUUUUUGUUUGGGCGUUUGUUUCUUCUUUUUUUGGUGAUGACUUCCACCUCGGCUUCGUUGAUGAGACGAGGAAUGAGAAGAGGAAUGAUGAUGUGUGGUGGUGUGAAAAUUGAGUA
rnacentral:ribozyme from 14 species